rnacentral:rRNA from 1 species
UACAGAGGUCCCAAGCGUUGUUCGGAUUCACUGGGCGUAAAGGGUGCGUAGGUGGUAGGGUAAGUCGGAUGUGAAAUCUCCGAGCUCAACUCGGAAAUGGCAUUGGAAACUACCCAACUAGAGGGUCGGAGGGGGGACUGGAAUUCUCGGUGUAGCAGUGAAAUGCGUAGAUAUCGAGAGGAACACCAGUGGCGAAGGCGAGUCCCUGGACGACUCCUGACACUGAGGCACGAAAGCGAGGGGAGCAAACAGG